UACAGGGGGGGCAAGCGUUGUUCGGAAUUACUGGGCGUAAAGCGUGCGUAGGUGGUGAGUUAAGUCUGUCGUGAAAGCCCCGGGCUCAACCUGGGAAUGGCGAUGGAUACUGGCUCGCUAGAGUGCGGUAGAGGAGAGUGGAAUUCCCGGUGUAGCAGUGAAAUGCGUAGAGAUCGGGAGGAACAUCAGUUGCGAAGGCGGCUCUCUGGACCAGCACUGACACUGAGGCACGAAAGCGUGGGGAGCAAACAGG
rnacentral:rRNA from 1 species